UGGGGAAUUUUGGACAAUGGGCGAAAGCCUGAUCCAGCAAUGCCGCGUGCAGGAUGAAGGCCUUCGGGUUGUAAACUGCUUUUGUACGGAACGAAAAAGCUUCUCCUAAUACGAGAGGCCCAUGACGGUACCGUAAGAAUAAGCACCGGCUAACUACGUGCCAGCAGCCGCGGUGAUACGUAGGGUGCGAGCGUUAAUCGGAAUUACUGGGCGUAAAGCGUGCGCAGGCGGUUAUGUAAGACAGAGGUGAAAUCCCCGGGCUCAACCUGGGAACUGCCUUUGUGACUGCAUGGCUAGAGUGCGGCAGAGGGGGAUGGAAUUCCGCGUGUAGCAGUGAAAUGCGUAGAUAUGCGGAGGAACACCGAUGGCGAAGGCAAUCCCCUGGACCUGUACUGACGCUCAUGCACGAAAGCGUGGGGAGCAAACA
rnacentral:rRNA from 1 species